GGGUCGUUAGCUCAGCUGGUAGAGCAUCACGUUUACACCGUGCCGGUCGGGGGUUCGAGUCCCUCACGACCCA
rnacentral:tRNA from 1 species